UCAGUGCUGGUUCUGGCUACGUUGAUGCCAAUCGCCAUGGGCCGCCGACCAACGGAACCUACUUGUUUGCCAGUCAUGUUUUCGUGCGUAGAAGAUGAAGAAUGCUGCAGCAAUUAUUGCAAAUACAAAGACCCUCGUAUAGUGCCACAGUGUGCGGAACACAUAGGUCGUCUCUCUCCCGGCACUGAAGUCUGGAACCACACGCUCCGCAAGUAUCAAGACUUACUUGGUGGGUUCAUCAGGUCCCAACAGUCGGGUAAUCGCUUUCUCGAUGGUACGGACUCAGAGGUACCACGUUCAGAGGUACCACGUUCAGAGGUACCACGUUCAGAGGUACCACGUUCAGAGGUACCACGUUCAGAGGUACCACGUUCAGAGGUACCACGUACAGAGGUACAGACUCAGAGACGAAGAGUGUUUGAAGCCUCAGAUGACAGGCCUCUCAAGUCUCAUACACCGGGUGGAAGGUCUCUCAGGUCUUUUGUCUGACGUCACGCGACCGGGACGUUACGGGUCUUACGCCUCAAGUGUCGUGUGACAGUUCUAUCCAGUUAAGCUCACAAAUAAAACGCCUUAUUAAGUA